GGAAGGGCCAUAGCUCAGUGGCAGAGCAUCUGCCUUGCAAGCAGAAGGUCCAGGGUUCAAUCCCUGGCCUCUCCA